GGGCCCAUGGUCUAGUGGCUAUGACAUCGCCUUCACAUGGCGGGGAUCGCCGGUUCAAAUCCGGCUGGGCCCA
rnacentral:tRNA from 1 species